rnacentral:rRNA from 1 species
CCUACGGGCGGCAGCAGUGAGGAAUAUUGGUCAAUGGGCGCGAGCCUGAACCAGCCAAGUAGCGUGAAGGAUGACUGCCCUACGGGUUGUAAACUUCUUUUAUAAAGGAAUAAAGUGAGGCACGUGUGCCUUUUUGUCUGUACUUUAUGAAUAAGGAUCGGCUAACUCCGUGCCAGCAGCCGCGGUAAUACGGAGGAUCCGAGCGUUAUCCGGAUUUAUUGGGUUUAAAGGGAGCGUAGAUGGGUUGUUAAGUCAGUUGUGAAAGGUUGCGGCUCAACCGUAAAAUUGCAAUUGAUACUGGCAGUCGUGAGGACAGUUGAGGUAGGCGGAAUUCGUGGUGUAGCGGUGAAAUGCUUAGAUAUCACGAAGAACUCCGAUUGCGAAGGCAGCUUACUAAACGGCCACUGACAUUGAUGCUCGAAAGUGUGGGUAGCAAACAGGAUUAGAUACCCUGGUAGUC